rnacentral:rRNA from 1 species
UGGGAACGUACCCUUCAGUUCGGAACAACCCAGGGAAACUUGGGCUAAUACCGAAUACGUCCGUAAGGAGAAAGAUUUAUCGCUGAAGGAUCGGCCCGCGUCUGAUUAGCUUGUUGGUGAGGUAACGGCUCACCAAGGCUACGAUCAGUAGCUGGUCUGAGAGGAUGAUCAGCCUCACUGGGACUGAGACACGGCCCAGACUCCUACGGGAGGCAG